GCUGGGUGUGGUGGUGCAUGCCUUUAGUCCCAACUACCAGGGAGGCCGAGGCAGGGGGAUCACUUAAGCCCAGGAAGUCGAGGCUGCAGUGAGGCACGAUCAUGCCACUGUACUCCAGCCUGGGCAACAGAGUGAGACCCUGUCUCAA
ensembl:misc_RNA Metazoa_SRP Metazoan signal recognition particle RNA